CCCGUUGCUAACUUACAGCUAGCGUACAUGCUAACGACGUCUGUAGCCUACAGUUUGGUACUUUGGCUGUUUGGGGGCGAAUAAACAAACGACCCAGCGGUCGGUCACGUUCACCGGAAUGAUCGGUGCUUUUAUUUGUCACACACCUGUGGAUAGAUGCAGCCUCAAUGGAUGUCAUGUGGUAAGAAGAGGAACCUUCUACAGACCAACUGAAGGAAGGAGAUGAGUGCAGAGUUUCCGGACCACAACGGAGAAGUUCCUUCACUCCAUUCAUGCCGCCUUCUCUCCGUACUCACUGUAUACUCAUAGUAUUGUAUGUCAUUAAAUAAUUUAAUAAAAAAGUAAGUAAUAGUACGUAUUCUGUCAAAAAAAGCUCAGAAAAGUCAUACAUAAUGUCAAAAAGUGUUAUUACAUAGUUAUUACAAUGCUAUAACAUUGUUAUAACAUGUAUUAUGACAAAAAAAUCUAUUAAAAAGUAAAAGAAAAAUGUAAAAAAGUGUUAUUACACAGUUGUACACAGGCCAUGCCAUAAAAGUGGACGUAAAUUAUUUUGUCGUCCAUAAAA